ACGGGUGUGCUCUCACUCGUGUAGUAGUCCAAAUGCCUAAACAAAGGCAUAUGAACAUUGAGGCCACCCAUGAGCGAUUUUAUGGUCAGAGACCAUUUUGGGUCAUUUUGGCCCGAACUGGGCCAUGUGGGCCCCAAGAGCAUGUGGGCCCCACUCAGGUGAACCACACAGGCGUGUGGGAGAAUAUUGGGUCAGGCUAUGUAUCCACACAGCUAAGGCCAUUUCUG
rnacentral:lncRNA from 1 species